CCGGCGCGCCUGGAAGAGGGAUGGGCAUCCAUCUGGGACGCCCAGAAUUUCCAGUUCUGAAUUCGCUCCCAACCAGUUUACGUCCAGGCCCAGUGCUGCAGAAACAUCCUGGGCUGAGAUAGAAACCCAAGUCAGACUUUGAGUUUGCUUUGGGUAUUCAGGAAUUCCUGUCAAAAUGAAAUCUGCUCAACCGAGAGGAGGAUGAGUUGGGCUCCAGUUCUGGUCUGGAGGCAAGAAGUCCUAAAUUAGCGUCACCAGGCUGAAAUCAAGGUACUGGCAGAGCUGUGCUCCCUCCAGAUGCUCCAGGGCAGAAUCUGUUUUCUGCCUUUUCCAGUUUCUGACACUCUUUGAUUUGUGGCUUUAUCACUUCAUUCACUCCAUCUUCAAAUUUUUCUCUGCUCUUUCACAU